UACGUAGGGGGCAAGCGUUGUCCGGAAUUAUUGGGCGUAAAGAGCUCGUAGGCGGUCUGUCGCGUCGAUCGUGAAAACUUGGGGCUUAACCCUGAGCUUGCGGUCGAUACGGGCAUGACUGGAGUUCGGCAGGGGAGACUGGAAUUCCUGGUGUAGCGGUGGAAUGCGCAGAUAUCAGGAGGAACACCGGUGGCGAAGGCGGGUCUCUGGGCAGUAACUGACGCUGAGGAGCGAAAGCGUGGGGAGCGAACAGG
rnacentral:rRNA from 1 species